GUGAGUUCAUGUUCCUUAUUAGAACAAAAUUAAAUACAAGUACAGAACCUGUCUGGGCAAUGAUUUAAGAUAAAACUCUCCAACAGAACCCGAUGUAAACCAGGUUAUAGAACCAGAAUAUUAUAUCACUAACUGUUAUGGCAGCUAAACUAAAAGCUAAGUAGACUGAGAAACUCUACACAAUAAAUAAGCACAUGGGUAUAAAAAGAGGACUUUUAUUUAUUUAUUUAUUUAUUUAGCCAUUUUUCUAUUGGAUGAGACUGUAUCCAGCCGGCCAAUAGGGUGGCUGGUUGGGGAGAUGUGGGCGUUAGUUUUCCUCGGGCACGUUUUCUUUUGUUGCUUCUGUGUCCAGCCAGCAGAUGAGACAGAAGGUUCUCCUGCAGUAAAGAGAUUAUACAAAAAAAAAAAAAAAAACAAGCUCAAAGUUUGAAUUACGUGACAAAACACAGUGGAACAGUGUUUAAUGACUCAUUGCUGAGCAGAUAUAUGGGGAAAACUUUCCAUUAGAGAACGAGAAGUUAUUUGCUGAACUGAAACUUUUGCAUAGGUUUUUUUUUGUCCUGGUGAUCGUGGUGGAUUCAGUUUUCCUUUAAUGGCGAACCUCCCAAACUCUAACCUAGAGGGUGAUUCUUCUGUAUCCUGGACAUCACUUGAAUUGCAACGUAUUGAUCCCUUUUGUUGAACUGUACACCUCCAAGAACUGGUAGGAGGAAUACUUACCAAUUUGCACUCUCCACGGACUGGACGUUCCAAAAGUCUGAUUCAGAGGAAGAGGCCAGACUCACCUGACCCCAGCUGUGUGUCCAUGAAGACUGUCAAGUCGAUGGGAGAACCAUUAUAUUUCAGAGGGGAGGACAGUUCUGCUGGACUGAGUCUGAUUCAGAGGAAGAGGCCAGACUCACCUGACCCCAGCUGUGUGUCCAUGAAGAGUGACGAGUCAAUGGACCAUCCAAAUGUGUUCAGAGGGGAGGACAGUUCUGCUGUGCCGAGGUAAAGAUGGCUUUAACAGUGAAGAACAGUGUAGAGCUCCUGUCCACAAGGUGGAGCACACUUACCCUCAGGGCUACAGCCAGUGACGCUGUGGAUAUAUCAGACAAUUUCAGCUUUA
ensembl:lncRNA